GGCCCCCCGUAGUGCUCAGAUGGUGGGUCUGGCCUGCCCAGUGACUGUAUGGUUAAACGGCCGCGGAAUAUUAACUGUGCGAAGGUAGCGUAAUAAUUUGCCUAUUAAUUGUGGGCUAGUAUGAAUGGUCUGACGAGGGCUAAGCUGUCUCUUUAUGAUAUAUUUGGAAAUUAUUUUUUAGGUGAAGGUACCUAAAUACUGCUAAGGGACGAUAAGACCCUGUCGAGCUUAAGCGGAAUUUUAGGUGUGGACUGAUCAAAUUUGAAAUUGGUUUAAUUGUUGCUAAAAUGAAUUUUUGACUGGGGCGGUCAGGGAGUAGAAAGAACCUUCUGUUUAAUGUAUUUGCUUUUUGGCAUGUGAUCUAGCUUGUUGCGGAGCAUAAGAAAAAGUUACCGCAGGGAUAACAGCGUAAUUUUUUUGGAGAGUUCUUAUUGAGAAAAAAGUUUGCGACCUCGAUGUUGGACUAAGGUGUCCUGAAGGUGCAGAAGCUUUCAAGGGUUAGUCUGUUCGACUAUUAAAACCUUACA
rnacentral:rRNA from 1 species